UUAUGACUUGUUUUACAGG
rnacentral:misc_RNA from 1 species